rnacentral:rRNA from 1 species
AUGCCCCAGCGCUUAACCCUCCUCCGCCGCCUCUCCACCCACGGCGACCGCAACCUCGCCACCCUCCUCGCCGUCCUCCGCUCGCCGGAGGCCUCAUCCACGCCGCUCCCGCGCGCCCUCUCCCGCGCCUUCCCGUCCCCGUCAGACGCCUUCCCCCUCCACACGCUCCCCGACCUCCUGCCGCGCCUCCCCUCCCCGCUCCUCUCCCUCCGGUUCCUGCUCUGGCGCCUGCCCCCCUCCCCGCCGCUCCCCUCCCCGCACACCCUCUCCUCGCUCGCCGCCUCGCUCCCGGACCUCCCCUCCGCCGUGCCCCUCCUCCUCUCCUCCUCCCCGCACCCGCUGCCCCUCCCGCACUACGCCCUCCUCCUCGGCAUCUCCACUCAUGCCGGCCUUUUCCCGGUCUCACUCGCCGUCCUCCGCCACAUGCGAUCCUCCGGCCUCGCGCCCGACGUGGCCUGCUUCCACUCCGCCCUCCGCGCCGCACGCUCGCAUUGUGAUGUCUCCGCCGUUCUGGACAUCAUGUCCAGGUCCGGCGUCAACCCGACCGUCCCCCUGAUCGUGACCGCGGUGCAUAGGCUGGCGUACAGGGGCGACUUCGAAGGUGCCCGCUGUCUGAUUGACAAAAUGCCUGAGUUUGGAUGCGCGGCCAAUCUGGUGGUUUACACCGCGAUGCUCGACGGGAUGCUCGCUUUUGGUCAUGUGGAUGCCGCAGUGGGGCUGCUGGAGGAGAUGGAGGGUGGCAGACUCGGUGCUGGGUGUGUGCCCAAUGUGGUGUCCUACACAUGUUUGGCGAAAUGCCUGUGCCGAAAAGGGAGAAUGGUGGAAGCUCUGAGCGUGCUGGAUAGGAUGGUAGCUAGAGGGGUGAUGCCGAAUCGCGUUUUUGUGCGGACGCUGAUCGAUGGGUUUUGCGCGGCCAGGGGGGCUGGCUUGAUUUCCAAGGCAUAUGAUGUGGUGGAGCGUUUGGUCGUUGACGGAACUUUGUCAAGCGGGCAGUGCUAUAAUGUUCUUCUGGUAGGCUUGUCUGUGGCUGGGAUGACAAGGGAAGCUGAAGGCCUCGCGCAGAGGAUGAUGAAGGCAGGGGUGCAGCUGAGCCCGCUCGCAGGAAGUGCAAUGGCGAGGGAGCUGUGUCAGAGGAAAAUGUGGUUGCAUGCUUGCUGUUGGUUGAGACUGAUGGAUGAUAAUGGGGUGCUCUGUGAUUCUGAUGCCUAUGCUGGCGUGUUGUUGGGGCUGUGUCAGGAGGGGCAUGUCCUUGAGGCCUCGGCGUUGGCGAGGAAGGUCAUGGAUAGGGGAAUACGCAUUGACGCUUCCUGCGCUGAUUGUUUGGUGGAGUUACUGAAGCAACAUGGUGAUGAGGAGCUAGCAUCACAUGUAUUAGGAUUGAGCAGAUCCCCUGAAGUGAUGUCGCUGUGA